GAUGAACGCUGGCGGCGUGCUUAACACAUGCAAGUCGAACGGAAGGGCCCUGAUUUUGUGGGGUGCUCGAGUGGCGAACGGGUGAGUAAAACGUGAGUAUCCUGCCCUUGACUUUCGGAUAACAUCAGGAAACUGGGGAUAAUAUCGGAUAGGAUCUCCUGAUGCAUGGUGGGGGUUGGAGAGUUUCGGCGGUUGGGGAUGGACUCGAGGGUUAUCAGCUUGUUGGUGGAGUAGUUGCUUACCAAGGCUUUGACGGGUAGCCGGCCUUGGAGGGGGACCGGCCACAUGGGGACUGAGAUACGGCCCAGACUCCUACGGUAGGCAGCAGGGGGGAAUAUUGCACAAUGGGCGGAAGCCUGAUGCAGCAGCGCCGCGUGCGUGAUGACGGCCUUCGGGUUGUAAACCGCUGUCGCCUGAGACGAAGCGUGCGUGACGGUAAUGGGUAAAGAAGCACCGGCUAACUACGUG
rnacentral:rRNA from 1 species